GAUGAACGCUGGCUACAGGCUUAACACAUGCAAGUCGAGGGGAAACGACGGGGAAGCUUGCUUCCCCAGGCGUCGACCGGCGCACGGGUGAGUAACGCGUAUCCAACCUGCCUCUGACUGAGGGAUAACCCGUCGAAAGUCGGCCUAAUACCUCAUGGCAUCGUCUGCGGGCAUCCAACGACGAUUAAAGAUUUCAUCGGUCAGAGAUGGGGAUGCGUCUGAUUAGCUUGUUGGCGGGGUAACGGCCCACCAAGGCGACGAUCAGUAGGGGUUCUGAGAGGAAGGUCCCCCACAUUGGAACUGAGACACGGUCCAAACUCCUACGGGAGGCAGCAGUGAGGAAUAUUGGUCAAUGGGCGAGAGCCUGAACCAGCCAAGUAGCGUGCAGGAUGACGGCCCUAUGGGUUGUAAACUGCUUUUAUGCGGGGAUAAAGUGAGGGACGUGUCCUUCAUUGCAGGUACCGCAUGAAUAAGGACCGGCUAAUUCCGUG
rnacentral:rRNA from 1 species